rnacentral:rRNA from 1 species
GGACUACACGGGUAUCUAAUCCCGUUCGCUCCCCUGGCUUUCGUCCCUGAGCGUCAGGUGCUUCCCAGGACACUGCCUACGCCUUUGGUGUUCCUCCGGAUAUCUACGCAUUUCACCACUCCACCCGGAAUUCCGUGUCCCUCUGAAGCCCUCAAGUCCACCAGUUUUCGAAGCCCUUUCCCAGUUAAGCCGGGAACUGUCACUCCAAACUUGAUGCACCGCCUGCGGACGCUUUACGCCCAGUAACUCCGGACAACGCUUGCCCCCUACGUAUUACCGCGGCUGCUGGCAC